rnacentral:lncRNA from 1 species
AAGUUGUCACCUUUUAUGAAACAUUCCAAGAAAAUGACAGCACUGCUUUGAAGUCGCUGAAACAUUUGAAAUACAAGCAGAGUAGAGUUCAUGAUGCAUCUGUGGAACUUGGUGGUCUACAAAAGUCAGAGGUGUAAUAAGUCAUCUUGACUGGCUGAACAAGGAGGGAUCCUGGAAGCCGUGGGUCUUUAUUUUUGAAGCUCAUGCCAAGCAGGGAAAAAAGGAAGAAAUGCAUGCCUCAUCUAAAACUUCAGAAGGGAAUCAUUCACUGAAGAUGAUGUCCUGUUUGUUGGAAAAGAGGAAGCUCAAGUAGUUACUGGGAGAAAAGCUGUCCUACUGAAUCAGUGUGGAUUUCAAGAGGAUCUGUUGCAGGGAAAUUCUCUAUUUGCUCCUUUUCAUGGCAAGUAUUAUGAUUCUUUAAUUUGUCACAUUGAGCAGCAAAUUUUUAAAAAAUGAGACAC